AAGGCUAAAUACGGUCACGAGACCGAUAGCGAACAAGUACCGGACGGGAAAGUUGAAAAGCCUUUGGAGAGAGAGUUAAAAAGCACGUGAAACCGUCGAGAGGCAAACGGGAGGGCCUGUCGGGUCGUUCGGUCGCUUUCAGGCGGGCCGGAGACCGGGUCGCGGGAUCGGGGACCUUCGCGGGCCUCGACUCGCGUCGCCGGCCGACGGCUCGGCGCACUAGCGUCGGACGAGGGCCGCGACCGGCUGGGCGGCGGGCAAACGGCCCCGGGCAAGGUAACCCCGCUUCGGCGGGGUGCUACAGGCCCGGUGCGCGCAAGGGUCGCCGCCCGGUCGAGGAGAGAUGCGCGCCGCACCUGCCCCGUUCGCGGGGCCGGGGAAGCCGUUCGAGCAGCGUCGUGUCGCGGUCCGGGACUGUCCUCAGUCCCGGGUCGUCUCGGCGCGGUUCCGAGCGGUCGCUCCCUCGCGAGGUGCCGCGGGUCAGCGGCUGACGCCAGCCACCUUCCCGACCCGUCUUGAAACACGGACCAAGGAGUCUAACAUGUGCGCGAGCCGCGGGGCAGUACGAAACCCGUAAGGCGAAAUGAAGGUGAACGCCGGCGCGGUCCGGCGGAGGUUGGAUCCCGUCCCGUCGGGGCGGGCGCACUACCGGGCGAUCUUCUCCGCCCUGUCGGCGAGGUCGAGCGAGAGCGUGCAAGUCCGGA
rnacentral:ncRNA from 1 species